rnacentral:rRNA from 1 species
AAUCAACGCUGGCGGCGUGCCUCAGACAUGCAAGUCGAACGCAAAAGUUUCCUUCGGGAAGCGAGUAGAGUGGCGCACGGGUGAGUAACACGUAAGUAAUCUACCUCGGGGUGGGAAUAACAUCGGGAAACCGAUGCUAAUACCGCAUAAUGCAGCGGCUUCUUAUGAAGACAGUUGUUAAAGCAUUUAUGUGCCUGGAGAGGAGCUUGCGGCAGAUUAGCAGUUGGUAAGGUAAUGGCUUACCAAGGCGACGAUCUGUAGCCGACCUGAGAGGGUGGUCGGUCACACUGACACUGAAUAACGGGUCAGACUCCUACGGGAGGCAGCAGGUCGGGAAUUUUGGGCAAUGGGCGAAAGCCUGACCCAGCAACGCCGCGUGAAGGAUGAAGUUUUUCGGAAUAGUAAACUUACGU